CUGCCUCCCUCCCUGUACAGUCACCAGAACCCUGGGAGUAAAAUGAGCUGCAUUCUACCAAGUUGAAGUGUCUUCACUUGAAUUCUGGAGGCCACAGCUUCCUCCCCACUAUGGGAAAGAAGAGAAUGCUUGAUGUAAGUCUCCUGACACUGGCUUGGACCCUAAACCCUUGAAUAUCUAUAUUCCCUACAAGACUACAGGGGGCUUCCUUUAUGGCUCAGCAGGUCAAGAAUCCUCCUGCAAUGCGGGAGACAUAGGAGAUAUCGGUUCGAUCUCUGGGUCAGGAAGAUCCUCUGGAAGAGGAAAUGGCAAUCUGCUCCAGUAUUCCUGCCUGAAAAAUGCCAUGAAGAGAAGAGCCUGGCUGGAUAGUCCAAAGGAUCAAAAAGAGUUGAAUACAACUGAGUGACUAAGCAUGCAGAAGACUACAAGCUCUGUUAAGUCUUGGGUCCUACCUAUCUUUAUAACCAUCAUCUACUGACUGAUAAAAUAGGCACUUAAUAUGUGACUUUUGAUUAUAGUAAUGUUGUUAAAUGUCAUCUUUGAGAUUAAAUAAAA